ACGAGCUGGUGAGUGCUGUGCGCCGCACGCCUGCCGAGCGCUGUGCGUGCGGGCGCUGCGCACCGACGCGCUGCUGCACACCACCGUGGCGCUGUUCACUGCGCACGACGCGCACGAGCUGAUAAUGUUUCUGAGGCGGAUAUCGUCGAAACUAAACAACAACACCCCAAGUUUGACCGCGGAUGAACAACCUAAUGGAAAUGUGUCUGAAGCUGCUGGGUCAAGGUAUGAAUAUAUCCUUGUGUCCGAUACUUAUAUUGAAUGUAUUAUAUUGAAUGUAUUCACAAACAUUUACUAGUGUAAAAUAAAUAAUCAUAGCGAGUGGA